rnacentral:lncRNA from 1 species
UGUCCAGGGGCUGAAGUCCUGCUUGGCCCUAUACUCAGGGAAACAAAGCAGCUCAAUAAAAACUUUCGAUGCUAGUUUUCAUAGACAUUUACACUCUGGUGAGGGCGGCCCAGCACGGAAGCUCCACUAAUCAGCCCCUAACCUUGGGUUUGGAUUCUUGGUUUAU